AGGCGCGUAGCUCAGUUGGCAGAGCGUGGGCAUAAACCCCAAGGGCGUAGGUUCAAUUCCUACCGUGCGUU